ensembl:lncRNA
AUGUACACCGAAGAAGGCACCUCCUUCCUGGACUCCGCUUCCUGCAGGGGGCCACAGUGUAUGCAUGAGGUGAGCAACCUCAAGCCAUUGCAUCCAGCUCUCACCUCCACUCCCCUUUGCUCCUUCAAACACCCCUGCAGAAGAGAGAAUAACUGCGUGCACUGCAGCCAGACCAGCAGGUCUGUCUCAGUACCCUACACGGCUGCAGACAAGUCAAAUCGGAGCUCAGAAGGGGCCGCUGUUUGCAGGACCCCAACGCCAACUCAAGACCAGAUCCAGGCACUGCUCAGGGGUGCUCCAAUAACACCAACACCCCUGAAGAUCAAUGAGCUACAAAAUGAGGCGGAGCAGGUCUCAGAGUGUUCAGGCAGGAUGAUGAAUUUGAUGAUGGACGAAAACAUAAAUGAAGACGGUCAGAAGUCCAGCAGUUCCUCACAGGUUCUGAGGGAGAAUCAGCUGCUGCAGGUUGAGAGAGGCUCGGCACAUCUCUGUGAGGAGCUGGACUGCUUUCCUCUGGAUGGGCUGGUGGGGGUGUGGUGGUGCGAGCAACCUGUCACCCGUUUGGACUGUUCCUUGGCUCACCAGAAGUCAGAGGUUCCUGCACCUUUGGAUCUCUGAACUAUUAGUCCACUUAUUUUAGUUCUAAUCAGAGGUGAGUCACCAAUUGACAAGUUUCAUUUUUUUUUCCCCUCUCCAUCAAUCAGUCAGAAUCCAAGUAUUUUCAAUGUAUUUGCUUGAGUGUGUGUUGGGGAAGACUGUGGGAAAUGCACUCACUCAUAGUGAUUAUCACUCCAACACAUCACUCAUUGCAAAAACAUAUAAAAGAUCACAACAACAAUUUUAAAAUUUAAAACUAAAUUCAAACAAUCAAAACGUAAAAAUUAACAUUUCAAAAAACAAAAGUGAUUUCCAGAAAUCCAAAUAAACUAUUAAUAAAUUAAACAAAAUAAGAAACCGGAACAAUGGUACAAUUGGAAUUCACUAACUGGAUGGUAACAUUAGAGUUAUGAAGAGGAAGGAAAGCAGAAGGAUGUUUAGAUAAAAACCUUCUAUAGGAAGAUAUUGUCAUGCCAAAUAACUUUAGUUUUAAAAAGUGAAAAAACAGCAUUACCCAAUUAGUGAUGCUCCAUAAUACCCUCCUUUUCUGGAUUCUUAUUAUGUUUAAUUUUUAUAACCUCUCAGUUUGAUUUCUGGAAAUUAAGUAUGUUUUCCAAAAUGCUUCUUAUUUUGUUCCUAUUAUUUUCUCUUUAAUUGUGUGUUGUUGUUUUUUUUUUUUUGCAAUUAUGUGUUGGUUUCUGAAACAUUGUUUUGAUUUUAAAAUGUAAUUUUGCUUUUUAAAUUAUUUGCUUUGCUUUUUUCAUGCAUUGUGUGAUUGUUGAUGGGGUUUCCACUUCAGGGGCCCAUUUCAAGAAGCAGGUUCAACAAAUUUAGAGUUGAAACCUGAACUCCUCUGAUGAUUAAUAUAAAUGAUUUGUCUAUGGAUGUUUUUGAAAUUCUAUUACAUCACUGAUAUUAAUGAUCUUUUAUUACCUGAAACUAUAUUAAUAUUUGAUUUUAAGUCCUGAACUGGAUAAUUCAUGAUAAUUCAUGAAGAGAAAAUGGUACGGUCGAGCCGGGGUGGGAUUAUAUAAGUUUGCUUCCUUCCACCCCCUUUCAAGCGAUCUACUUGUGAUUGAUUAUGUGAUGUUAUUUCAUGUAUUAUAACCUGAUUGCUUGAAAUAAACCAUUUCAUUCAUUCAUUCAUUCAUUCAUUCAUUCAUUCAUUCAUUCAUUCAUUCAUUCAUUCAACUGCGAGUCCGUGGACUCAAAAUUCUCAAAUUUAGAGUUUUCGGUUUCAGAACAG